GCGUGAGUGACGAAGGCCUUCGGGUUGUAAAGCUCUUUUGACGGGGACGAUAAUGACGGUACCCGUAGAAUAAGUCCCGGCUAACUUCGUGCCAGCAGCCGCGGUAAUACGAAGGGGACUAGCGUUGUUCGGAAUUACUGGGCGUAAAGCGCACGUAGGCGGAAUUGUCAGUCAGGGGUGAAAUCCCGGGGCUCAACCUCGGAACUGCCCUUGAUACAGCAAUUCUUGAAUCCGGUAGAGGUGGGUGGAAUUCCUAGUGUAGAGGUGAAAUUCGU
rnacentral:rRNA from 1 species